CAUACCUAUUCGAAGGGAUAGGGUCGGUUUGGCCGGAUUUCACACAGGUGUUGCAUGGCUGUCGUCAGCUCGUGUCGUGAGAUGUUGGGUUAAGUCCCGCAACGAGCGCAACCCUCAUCCUUAGUUGCCAUCAGGUAAUGCUGAGUACUUUAAGGAAACUGCCAGUGAUAAGCUGGAGGAAGGUGGGGAUGAUGUCAAGUCAUCAUGGCCUUUAUGGAGUGGGCUACACACGUGCUACAAUGGUGUCUACAAUGGGUUGCAAGGUGCGCAAGCCUAAGCUAAUCCCUAAAAGACAUCUCAGUUCGGAUUGUACUCUGCAACUCGAGUACACGAAGUUGGAAUCGCUAGUAAUCGUGGAUCAGCAUGCCACGGUGAAUACGUUCUCGGGUCUUGUACACACUGCCCGUCACGCCAUGGGAAUUGGUUUCACUCGAAGCU
rnacentral:rRNA from 1 species